rnacentral:lncRNA from 1 species
GGAACUAUUCUUUUAGGAGCUUCACUCUCUGUUCUAAAUUGGACCCAUUUAAGGCUUAUAUUCAACCAGUACAUUCUAGUACAACUGUACCCAUUUUUAAAACAAUGAUAUAUUGGUAUGUCAGAAGCAAAAAAAUAUGUAUAUAUAUUUAUAUAUAUAUAUACACAUAUAUAUUUAGGGCCACACCUGCGGCAUAUGGUAGCCCCAGGCUAGGGGUCAAAUCAGAGUUACUGCUGCCAGCCUACGCCACAGCCACAGCAAUGUGGGAUAUGAACCAUCGCUGCGACCUACACCACAGCUCACAGCAGUGCUGGAUCCUUAACCAACUGAGCGAGGCCAGGGAUCAAACCCACAUCCUCAUGGAUACUCUUUACCACUGAGCCACAAAGGGAACUCCCAGGAGCAAAAUAUUUUAAUACUAUCUUUAACAAAUGGUGAAAUCAAUUACUAACAUAAGUAUGCAUAUAAAUGCAUUAAUUCCAGUGCUGUCUGAGGAUGUUGCGAUGACCUUUGUGCAUGGGCCUUCCUUCUAUCACAGCAAUAUCUGAGAAGCUACCUGCCACUUAGCCCAGGUAGGCAGUAUAGCAUUCUUUACAGUGUGCUCUGUGGCUUAGGCAAAUCAUUCAUCUUUAUACUCUAAAGAAUUUUAUGCUUUGCUAAUUGUAAUCCUUGCAGAAAAUUGUUAGUGAAUUGUCUUGAUAUUGUGAUAAAGUUAAGAAUUAAUAAUGAACUAUUAAAACUAUUUUUCUCUUUUUUGCCUCCUAGGUUAAGUUAGUGCCACUGUUUUAUUUCACUAUUUCUGAUUUUCCUUUUAUUUUCAUAGAGUACACUUGAGGUCUUUUCUUCAUUAAAAUACAUAGAGAUGACAAAAUCUGAAUCCUUGCAUUUCUGAAAAUAAAUUUAUUAAAUGGUCAGACUUAAUUGAUAGUUGGGAAGAGCAUAGAAUCUUUUUUUUCAAACUCUGAAGAUAUCACUUUUUUUUGUUUGUUUGUUUGGUCCUUUGUCUUUUUUGGGCUGCACCUGCGGCAUAUAGAGGUUCCCAGGCCAGGGUUCUAAUCGGAGCUACAGCUGCUAGCCUACACCACAGCCACAGCAAUGCUGGAUACAACCCAAGUCUGCAACUUAGACCACAGCUCACGGCAACACUGGAUCCUUAACCCUCUGAGCAAGGCCAGGGAUUGAACCUGCAACCUCAUGGUUCGUAGUCAGAUUUGUUUCUGCUGCACCACAACAGGAACUCUUCACUUCCUCAUUUUUUAGCAUCCAUUGUUGCUGUUCCUCCUAACAGAUCCACAUUGUUUACCUACUAUAUUUUAGGUAUUUAUGCUAAUCUGAUACUGAUUGCUUUGUUGAUGACAUUCCAUAAUGGGCCCUUUCAAGAUAAAUACUAUGACUCGGAGGUUUUCUUUGUUAUAUUACUUGUUUGUGAUUUUCUCCCCUCUAUUUCUCACUUCUUUCUUUUAGACUUCCUAAUAGCCAGUGAUGAAGUUAUAUUCUCUCUCUCAUGAUGCUUCGUUUCUCAAUAGUUUGCUUUGUUUCAUUUUUUCCUUCACGUGCUGAGAAGUAUUGUCCUUGUAGUUAUUCUGUUUUCUAUUAAAUUUUCCAUUUUGGAAACCAUUACUUUGAACUGAUUGUUCAUUUUCUAAUUGUUCCCUUUCCACUGCAUAAUAUACAGAUAAGCAGUAGUCCUCUUCCGUGGUACCUGAGUUUGAAACCAGGUAACAAGUCAGGAAAGUGAGAAGUAUCCUAGUAACAAUGUUUCACAAGUGCUUUUCUUAUGCAAAUAGUCUGCUUUUCUCUUCCUUUUCAUCUAGCUCCAUCAUUUACUUUCCUAUUCCUUUUUAAUUUUCAUUUUGUUCUUCAUCUAAGAGCUUUAAUUUCCUUUCUGUUCUCUGUAGGAUUCUCUUAUCCAUUUUUUUCUUUAAUGUUUCCACAUGGUGGAAUAAUAUCAUGAAAUCUGGAAUAGUGGCUAUCUUAAAAUGAUUUUGUCUGUUGCUUUUUAUUUUCUAGAAUAACAUGACACAACCUCUACCUUUUUCUUCUUCCUCCUUUCAGUUUGAAUGUGAGUAAAAUUUUAGCUUCCAGUGUCUCGGUGUUGUUUUGCAAAAUAGUAAAACUCGUGUAAAGGGUAACUAAGAUGAGCAUGGUUAUAAUAUACAUAAUUCAGGUAACCUCAUGGAAACUUGGAAGCAUUAAAAAUGAGUACCGCUGAUUUUAGUACUGCCGAUUGUGGAUCAAGAAAGGUGUUCUCUAUUGACAUGACACAUUUAAUUUCAGAAGUUUGAGACAUUUUAAUCUCUAUCAUGAUAGCUUUGAAAAAUCUGAAGAAAGAUAUAGGAAGCACCUUUAAUAACUUUAAUUUAAUAAUUCAACACAUAACUAUUACUCUGGAAAAUUUAUAAUUAUCUGUUAAAUAUUAUUAAACUCAAGAACAGGUUUUUUCCUAGUUCUCUUUGCAUUAAUGUGUAUUGCAAUUUUGCAAUAAAGUAAGAUCAAAGAACUACUUGGUAAGUAAAAAAUUUUUCUCAUGUAUGUUAAUUGAAAUUGGUUUAAAUAUGUCCACAUUACAUACCUAAAUACAAAAUGACAGGUACCAUAGCUGAUACCUACCUACUACCUAGCUGAUAAAUUUUGGCAUUCAUAUAGCUCCCUCCCUUCUUUCCCCUCCAAAAUCAUUGUUCCUUUGAUGAUCCUUCUGCAAUAGGUAAAAUAAGUGCAUGAAAAAAUCUGUUAGAUGAGAAACUAAGCUCUUGACUUUUUUGAUUCAUAGAGAAUGUUAACAGGAAAAUUCACAAGAAAGCAGUACCAUUAAUCCCAGCCUCAAAUGCCUCAGGACCCACUGUAGCCUGCCAGAGGUCCUUGUAAAGAACAUACAUCACAAUGCCAUCUGAUAUCUCUGUAUAGCCUGUUAAAUAGAAGUGGUUACCUAUUUCAGUUGAGCCACAAAUUCAAUUCCCUGCAGUAAUUUGAGAUAAAUUUCUUUAGUGCUCUCUUGUAUUUUCCCCAGUCAAUUUGUCAUUUAGGACCAAGCAAAGAGGAAUAGUUUGUGUAGCUGAGUGCCUGGACACAUUUAAAACGAGGCAAUGUAUGUGAUCGUUCCUCCACCAAUUGUGAUAUUGUCUGACCUAUAAAUGAUUAUUAUCUUUGCUCCUUGGAACCAUGAAUUCCACCACCACAUGAAGAUUGCACUAACUGUCUAAUGGACCCAUCACCAAACCUCAGAAGAGAUAGAAACACCUUUCACCCCACCCCACCCCUCCAUGUCUUGGAAAUGUAAUGGCAACUCUUGCUGAAGGCAUAGAUUCCUUUGCAUGUUUCAGGAAGAAAGGCAUCUUUCUUGAGGACAAAGACAAGGUAGGUUUGUCUGUGGCACUGGGAUCUUUCAUCCAGUGACUGAAAAACUUACAUUGGUGGGCACCCCGCAAGUAAGGGAAACCCUGGCAAGCAUCGGUGUCUAAGGGAUUAAACUGCUGCUGCUCCCUUCUUCUUUCUUCAUCUGGAUUCAAAAUAAUUAUGGUUUUAGUUUAGAUAUAUGGUGCAUUAAACUUAGACAUCUCUUAUGUGCAGAGUCAGACAUUCAGGCCUGUGCUCUACUGAGGAAUGCUAUCAUGUUAUGUAUUUACAUUUAUAUAUUUACCUUCACAAUUAUCUGUAAACAUUUUAAAUUUAGAGACUUUCUUUCAAGAAUUUGCUGGUUGUGAUUUGCAGGUAAAACCUUAGUCAGUGGCUAUCAGAGCAUCAUACUAAAAACCUGAAAAACAGAGCCUGUUCCCGCUAAUGAUCAGGACAGUGUCAGUACAGACACAGUACCUCACUGAAUGUUUCUACAUCAUCUGCACUAACCAGUCUAGAUGCCCGAUAGGCCUGACCCAGUAAUUCACACCAGGCAUUCCCCUGAGCAUACCCUUCAUUCCACUGACCAUCUCACUGGAUUUGAUGGCACCGAUGUUAGAGAAGAUGAGUCUGAGAUUGAUCAAAAUUUCCAGCAGGCCAACUUUUCUCUUCUCAUAGUUCUAAAGAAAUGUGAUUCUCUCUUCUUAACUCUAGGCUCUGAAUGCAAAAGCUUCUAGGAAUCAUGUAAAAACAAUGCCUGUUUUUCUUUUCUCUUGUGUAAAGGUUGCUGCUUAUAGGACUCUGGCAAGAAGUAUUUGGCUUGAGACAUGAGUACAAUUCAGGAUAUUUAUUCACUCAGUCUUUUAGCAAUCAGUCUUGGAAGUUCUACAGAGAUGUCUCCUAUUUUAAACUUAACAAUGCCCAAGUAUAAGAAUUAGGCAUUUCCGUAGAGUCUUCUCCUAUAAAUUUUAUUUAGUAAUGGAAGAGUAUAUGUAUCUAUGUCAAAAUUUUAAUCAUCGGACUUGUGUGUUAUCUUAGAGGAAUUAUGUUGCCAGUUGUGUUUUUCAUGACAUACAUUCAUGUACUCAUUUGAUUAAUAAUUAUAAAGAUCUUUGAUAUGGUAAUUUAUAUUUAGUACAGGCAGCUCAGGCGAACUGAUUUGAGUAACAGUUCCUUUCUGCCUGCUGCAUUUCUUUGUUGGAGAAGGGGUUAUAGGUUGCCUGCCAUACCUUCAUCAGCCUUACCUGGCACACUGACUGCCUUGCCUGUAGCAUGUUUGACAUUACAUUUAAAAUGUUCAAUAACUUUCAGCGGUGACAGUUAUGGUUCUGUGGUCCUGUUAAGUGGAAGUUCAUUUUAAAAAGAAAGAUGAUUUGCUCUAAGAACAGACAAAAUGUUUUCAUAGGACUUCUUUUUCUGAGUGAAUAAAAAAGAAGCUGCCUGAUGGAGUUCCCAUCAUGGCUCAGUGGAAACGAAUCUGGCUAGGAACCAUGAGGACACAAGUUCGAUCCCUCACCUCGCUCAAUGGAUUGGGGAUCUGGCAUUGCCAUGAGCUGUGGUGUAGGUCACAGACACAGCUCACCUCUGAUGUUGCUGUGGCAUAGGCCAGCAGCUGCAGCUCAAAUACCACCCCUAGCCUGGAAACAUCCAUAUGCUGCAGGUGUGGCCCUAAAAAGACCAAAAAAAAAAAAAAA